rnacentral:snRNA from 1 species
GUGAAUGCAAAGUUUUCUUAGCA